GAAUACCUGGACGUGAACAUCAAC
rnacentral:miRNA from 1 species